CGCGCAGGAAGUAGUUUAAAUAGAAUAUCAGCUUUGGGUGCUGAUGGUGGGGUUUAGUACUCUCUUCCUGA
rnacentral:tRNA from 1 species